UUCGGGGGAAAGCAGGGGAUCUUCGGACCUUGCGCUAUUGGAUGUGCCUAUGUCGGAUUAGCUAGUUGGUGGGGUAAAGGCCUACCAAGGCGACGAUCCGUAGCUGGUCUGAGAGGAUGAUCAGCCACAUCGGGACUGAGACACGGCCCGAACUCCUACGGGAGGCAGCAGUGGGGAAUAUUGGACAAUGGGGGCAACCCUGAUCCAGCCAUGCCGCGUGUGUGAAGAAGGCUUUCGGGUUGUAAAGCACUUUCAGUGAGGAGGAAAAGUUGGUCGUUAAUACCGGCCAGCCUUGACGUUACUCACAGAAGAAGCACCGGCUAACUCCGUGCCAGCAGCCGCGGUAAUACGGAGGGUGCAAGCGUUAAUCGGAAUUACUGGGCGUAAAGCGCGCGUAGGUGGUUUGAUAAGCGAGAUGUGAAAGCCCCGGGCUUAACCUGGGAACGGCAUUUCGAACUGUCAGGCUAGAGUAUGGUAGAGGAGUGUG
rnacentral:rRNA from 1 species